CCUACGGGAGGCUGCAGUGAGGAAUAUUGGUCAAUGGACGAGAGUCUGAACCAGCCAAGUAGCGUGAAGGAUGACUGCCCUAUGGGUUGUAAACUUCUUUUAUAAAGGAAUAAAACGAGGCACGUGUGCCUUUUUGUAUGUACUUUAUGAAUAAGGAUCGGCUAACUCCGUGCCAGCAGCCGCGGUAAUACGGAGGGUCUGAGCGUUAUCCGGAUUUAUUGGGUUUAAAGGGAGCGUAGAUGGGUUGUUAAGUCAGGUGUGAAAGUUUGCGGCUCAACCGUAAAAUUGCAAUUGAUACUGGCAGUCUUGAGUACAGUUGAAGUAGGCGGAAUUCGUGGUGUAGCGGUGAAAUGCUUAGAUAUCACGAAGAACCCCGAUUGCGAAGGCAGCUUACUAAACUGUGACUGACAUUGAUGCUCGAAAGUGUGGGUAUCAAACAGGAUUAGAUACCCGGGUAGUC
rnacentral:rRNA from 1 species